rnacentral:rRNA from 1 species
UAGGGAAUCUUCCACAAUGGACGAAAGUCUGAUGGAGCAACGCCGCGUGAGUGAAGAAGGGUUUCGGCUCGUAAAACUCUGUUGUUAAAGAAGAACAUAUCUGAGAGUAACUGUUCAGGUAUUGACGGUAUUUAACCAGAAAGCCACAGCUAACUACGUGCCAG